CUGCUCUACGGCCGCUACUGCAGCCAGGUGGAAGCGGCCGCGCGGCGCCUGGACCAACUGUCCACCUGCACUGACCUGCGCAUGAAGCUGCAGGAGUGCUCCCAGCGCGCCAACAACGGGCGCUUCUCGCUGCGGGACCUGCUGAUGGUGCCCAUGCAGAGGGUGCUGAAAUAUCACCUGCUGCUCCAGGAGCUGGUGAAGUUGACCCCGGAUGUGGCCGAGCGGGAGCGGCUGCGGGGGGCGCUGGACGCCAUGAGGG